AGCGAACGCUGGCGGCAGGCUUAACACAUGCAGGUCGAACGGGCACUUCGGUGCUAGUGGCAGACGGGUGAGUAACGCGUGGGAACGUACCUUUCGGUUCGGAAUAAUUCAGGGAAACUUGGACUAAUACCGGAUACGCCCUUCGGGGGAAAGAUUUAUCGCCGAUAGAUCGGCCUGCGUCUGAUUAGCUAGUUGGUGAGGUAAUGGCUCACCAAGGCGACGAUCAGUAGCUGGUCUGAGAGGAUGAUCAGCCACAUUGGGACUGAGACACGGCCCAAACUCCUACGGGAGGCAGCAGUGGGGAAUAUUGGACAAUGGGCGCAAGCCUGAUCCAGCCAUGCCGCGUGAGUGAUGAAGGCCUUAGGGUUGUAAAGCUCUUUUGUCCGGGAAGAUAAUGACUGUACCGGAAGAAUAAGCCCCGGCUAACUUCGUGCCAGCCGCCGCUGUAAGAC
rnacentral:rRNA from 1 species